rnacentral:rRNA from 1 species
AGUGAACGCUGGCGGUAGGCCUAACACAUGCAAGUCGAACGGCAGCACAGUAAGAGCUUGCUCUUACGGGUGGCGAGUGGCGGACGGGUGAGGAAUACAUCGGAAUCUACUUUUUCGUGGGGGAUAACGUAGGGAAACUUACGCUAAUACCGCAUACGACCUACGGGUGAAAGCAGUGGAUCUUCUGACCUUGCGCGAUUGAAUGAGCCGCUGUCGGAUUAGCUAGUUGGCGGGGUAAAGGCCCACCAAGGCGACGAUCCGUAGCUGGUCUGAGAGGAGGAUCGCCCACCUUGGAAGUGAGACACGGUCCAGAGUCCUGAGGGAGGGAGCAGUGGGGAAUAUUAGACAAUAGGCGCGAGCCUGAUCCAACCAGCCGGCGUGGGUGAAGGAGGCCUACGGGUUGUAAAGACCUUUUGUUGGGAAAGAACAGCAGCAGGUUAAUACCCCGCUGUUCUGACGGUACCCAAAGAAUAAGCACCGGCUAACUUCGUG